rnacentral:rRNA from 1 species
UGAACGCUGGCGGCGUGCCUAAUACAUGCAAGUCGAGCGAACGGACGAGAAGCUUGCUUCUCUGAUGUUAGCGGCGGACGGGUGAGUAACACGUGGAUAACCUACCUAUAAGACUGGGAUAACUUCGGGAAACCGGAGCUAAUACCGGAUGAUAUUUUGAACCGCAUGGUUCAAAAGUGAAAGACGGUCUUGCUGUCACUUAUAGAUGGAUCCGCGCUGCACUAGCUAGUUGGUAAGGUAACGGCUUACCAAGGCAACGAUGCAUAGCCGACCUGAGAGGGUGAUCGGCCACACUGGAACUGAGACACGGUCCAGACUCCUACGGGAGGCAGCAGUAGGGAAUCUUCCGCAAUGGGCGAAAGCCUGACGGAGCAACGCCGCGUGAGUGAUGAAGGUCUUCGGAUCGUAAAACUCUGUUAUUAGGGAAGAACAUAUGUGUAAGUAACUGUGCACAUCUUGACGGUACCUAAUCAGAAAGCCACGGCUAACUACGUG